AAUCUUCCCCAAUGGACGAAAGCCUGAUCGAUCACUGCCCCUUGAGCGAACAAGGUUUUCGGAUCGUAAAGCCCUGUGGCAAGGGAAGAACACGUACGGGAGUAACUGCCCGACACAUGACGGUACCUUAUUCGAAAGCCCCCGCUACCUCCGUUCCAGCAGCCGCGGUAACACGUAGGGGGCAAGCGUUGUCCGGAAUUAUUGGGCGAAAAGCGCGCGAAGGCGGUUCUUUAAGUCGGAUGGGAAAGCCCACGGGUCAACCGUGGAGGGUCAUUGGAAACUGGAGAACUUGAGUACAGAAGAGGAAAGCGGAAUUCCACGUGUAGCGGUGAAAUGCGUAGAGAUGUGGAGGAACACCAGUGGCGAAGGCGGCUUUCUGGUCUGAAACUGACGCAGAGGCGCGAAAGCGUGGGGAGCAAAC
rnacentral:rRNA from 1 species